rnacentral:rRNA from 1 species
GACGAACGCUGGCGGCGUGCUUAACACAUGCAAGUCGAACGGAAAGGCCCUGCUUUUGUGGGGUGCUCGAGUGGCGAACGGGUGAGUAACACGUGAGUAACCUGCCCUUGACUUUGGGAUAACUUCAGGAAACUGGGGCUAAUACCGGAUAGGAGCUCCUGCUGCAUGGUGGGGGUUGGAAAGUUUCGGCGGUUGGGGAUGGACUCGCGGCUUAUCAGCUUGUUGGUGGGGUAGUGGCUUACCAAGGCUUUGACGGGUAGCCGGCCUGAGAGGGUGAACGGACACAUGGGGACUGAGAUACGGCCCAGACUCCUACGGGAGGCAGCAGUGGGGAAUAUUGCACAAUGGGCGGAAGCCUGAUGCAGCAACGCCGCGUGCGGGAUGACGGCCUUCGGGGUGUAAACCGCUUUCGCCUGUGACGAAGCGUGAGUGACGGUAAUGGGUAAAGAAGCACCGGCUAACUACGUG